rnacentral:rRNA from 1 species
GACGAACCACCCAAACGUUAUUCGGAAUUACUGGGCUUAAAGCGUGCGUAGGCGGCCAUGUAAGUAGGAUGUGAAAUCCCACAGCUCAACUGUGGAACUGCGCUCUAAACUACAUGGCUAGAGGGAUAUAGAGGUGAGCGGAACUGAUGGUGGAGCGGUGAAAUGCGUUGAUAUCAUCAGGAACACCGGAGGCGAAGGCGGCUCACUGGGUAUCUUCUGACGCUGAGGUACGAAAGCUAGGGGAGCGAACGGG